rnacentral:rRNA from 1 species
CCUACGGGAGGCAGCAGUGAGGAAUAUUGGUCAAUGGACGAGAGUCUGAACCAGCCAAGUAGCGUGAAGGAUGACUGCCCUAUGGGUUGUAAACUUCUUUUAUCAAGGAAUAAAACGAGGCACGUGUGCCUUUUUGCAUGUACUUUAUGAAUAAGGAUCGGCUAACUCCGUGCCAGCAGCCGCGGUAAUACGGAGGAUGCGAGCGUUAUCCGGAUUUAUUGGGUUUAAAGGGAGCGUAGAUGGGUUGUUAAGUCAGUGGUGAAAGUUUGCGGCUCAACCGUAAAAUUGCAAUUGAUACUGGCAGUCUUGAGUACAGGUGAGGUAGGCGGAAUGCGUGGUGUAGCGGUGAAAUGCUUAGAUAUCGCGAAGAACCCCGAUUGCGAAGGCAGCUUACUAACGUCUGACUGACACUGAUGCACGAAAGUGUGGGUAUCGAACAGGAUUAGAUACCCUUGUAGUC